rnacentral:rRNA from 1 species
UACGUAGGGGGCAAGCGUUGUCCGGAAUCAUUGGGCGUAAAGGGUGUGUAGGCGGCCCCCUAAGUUUGGUGUGAAAUCUCCCGGCUCAACCGGGAGGGUGCGCCGAAAACUGGAGGGCUAGAGUGCGGGAUGGGAGAGUGGAAUUCCUGGUGUAGCGGUGAAAUGCGUAGAUAUCAGGAGGAACACCGGUGGUGCAGACGGCUCUCUGGACCGUAACUGACGCUGAGACACGAAAGCGUGGGUAGCAAACAGG